AGAGUUUGAUCAUGGCUCAGGAUAAACGCUGGCGGCGCACAUAAGACAUGCAAGUCGAACGGACAGAAUCCGAAUGUUUCAUUUGGAGGAUGUUAGUGGCGGACUGGUGAGUAACGCGUGAGGAACCUGCCUUGGAGUGGGGAAUAACAGUCCGAAAGGACUGCUAAUACCGCAUAAUGCAGUUGGGCCGCAUGGCUCUGACUGCCAAAGAUUUAUCGCUCUGAGAUGGCCUCGCGUCUGAUUAGCUAGUAGGCGGGGUAACGGCCCACCUAGGCGACGAUCAGUAGCCGG
rnacentral:rRNA from 1 species